GCAUAUCAAUAAGCGGAGGAAAAGAAACCAACAGGGAUUGCCCUAGUAACGGCGAGUGAAGCGGCAACAGCUCAAAUUUGAAAUCUGGCUUCGGCCCGAGUUGUAAUUUGCAGAGGAUGUUUAUGGUGCGGUACCUUCCGAGUUCCCUGGAACGGGACGCCACAGAGGGUGAGAGCCCCGUCUGGUUGGAUACCAAACCUGUGUUAAACUCCUUCAACGAGUCGAGUAGUUUGGGAAUGCUGCUCUAAAUGGGAGGUAAAUCUCUUCUAAAGCUAAAUACCGGCCAGAGACCGAUAGCGCACAAGUAGAGUGAUCGAAAGAUGAAAAGCACCUUGAAAAGGGGGUUAAACAGUACGUGAAAUUGUUAAAAGGGAAGCGUUUAUGACCAGACUUGUGUCGUGUGGCUCAUCCGAGGUUCUCCCCGGUGCACUCCACACGGCUCAGGCCAACAUCGGUUCUCGUUGGGGGAUAAGAACAGUAGGAACGUGGCCCUCUUCGGAGGGUGUUAUAGCCUGCUGUACGAUACCCUGAUGGGGACCGAGGACCGCGCUUCGGCUAGGAUGUUGGCGUAAUGGUCAUUAGCGACCCGUCUUGAAACACGGACCAAGGAGUCGUCCAUUAGAGCGAGCGUUUGGGUGUAAAACCCGCACGCGUAAUGAAAGUGAAAUUAGGUGAGAGCUUCGGCGCAUCAUCGACCGAUCCUGAAGUUUACGGAUGGAUUUGAGUAAGAGUUUUAACGGACGGACCCGAAAGACAGUGAACUAUGCUUGAAUAGGGUGAAGCCAGAGGAAACUCUGGUGGAGGCUCGCAGCGGUUCUGACGUGCAAAUCGAUCGUCAAAUUUGAGCA
rnacentral:rRNA from 1 species